rnacentral:rRNA from 1 species
CAGUAGCCGCGGUAAUACGGAGGGUGCAAGCGUUAAUCGGAAUUACUGGGCGUAAAGCGCACGCAGGCGGUCUGACAAGUCAGAUGUGAAAUCCCCGGGCUUAACCUGGGAACUGCAUUUGAAACUGUCAGGCUGGAGUCUUGUAGAGGGGGGUGGAAUUCCAGGUGUAGCGGUGAAAUGCGUAGAGAUCUGGAGGAAUACCGGUGGCGAAGGCGGCCCCCUGGACAAAGACUGACGCUCAGGUGCGAAAGCGUGGGGAGCAAACAGGAUUAGAGACCCGUGUAGUCCCUGUCUCUUAUAC